rnacentral:lncRNA from 10 species
AAUAAAUUAAUGCCUUUGCUGUUGGUGGGGGCAGGGAGCAUGGUACAGGGGUGACUGAGUUCCUGCUUUGUUAGUUCCCACUGAAACUGAUUGACAAAAAGGGCCUGGCACCUCUCUCUUCUCUCUCUUUCUCUCUCUCACCAUGUGAUCUAUGCAUGCCUGUUCCCGUCUGCUUGCACUAAGAAUGGAAACAGCCUAAGUUCCUCACCAGAAGCAGAGGCUGGCACCAUGUUUGUUAUGCAGCCUGCAGAACCGCUGGGGACAGCUCUCUGAAAAUAGGAAUAAAUAGUGGCUCCUCGAUAAACACCUUCUUGCCUACAGCAUGUGUGACUGCAAACACAUUCCCACUUCAACUAAUCCAAGACGAGAAGGAUGACAAAAUAAGAGAAAUCAUGGGAAAAACUGCCCAUUUCUGUUUUGUCCACUUUGCUUUGGGAAGUGAGAGCUAUAGUCAUUAUCACCACAUCCCCUGGCAUCCAAUUCCGUAGUGAGACGAGCAUGAGUGGAGCAGGAGACGGCUGUCCCCCACCCACAAGGAAUAUCAGAUGAUGGUUCAGCGAUCAUCACAUUGCCUCUCUGAAAGUGAUAAAUUGGCAGCUGGCACCAGGGAGAGGCUAUUUCCUGAUGGCCCACACCUGUUGCACUAAGAUGUUAAUCGAAUGCAGAUUCCAGGGAGAAACAACUUCCUGGGCAUGUGCGUAAGAGACAAAAUGGCAGGUAUGACCUUCUGGGGACACUCCACCAGAAAAGGGAAGAAAACCUCAGAUGGGCAUGCAUAUAACUUCCUAAACACACUGCUCACACUCUCCUCCCAAGGGUAAGGAGGGCACUGCACAUGCAGGCAGCCCAUCCUAAGGGAAGCAUCCUGGGAAAGGGGUCAGUCUAUAUGGUUCUGGGAUCAAGAUUAAACACCACAUUAGACCUUCAAGUUGCCCACUUGGGUCUCUUCUAUGUGUAUUUUUCUUUCCUUUCUUUUCUGCUCUAAAGCUUUUUUAAAUAAACAUACACAUCCCUCCUCUGAAACUUGCCUUGGUCUCUUUUUCUGCCAUAUGCAACUCAGUCAAAUUAUUUCUUCUGAGGAGGAAAAAAUUGAGGUAGCUGCAUUCCCAUACAGAUUCACCAUCGGUAACUCAGAUACCUUCUACUGGCCAUAUGUUUGGUGUUCUAUUCAAGAAAUAAUUGCUAAAGCCAAUGUCUUAAAGUGUUUUUCUUAUGUUUUUCUUCUAAGAGUUUUACAGUUUCAGGUCUUACACUUAAGUAUUUAAUUAAUUUGAGUUGAUUUUAUGCAUGGUGUAGGAUGUGUGUAAUAUUCAGUUUUUCUAACACUAUUUGUUGAAGAGACUAUUCUUUUUCCACUGUGUAUCCUUAGAAGCAUUGCUGAAGUGUUGUUG